rnacentral:rRNA from 1 species
AUACCGAUGCGGGACCCUACGGGUGCCGCGUUCGGAAUGAGUACGAUUCGAACCACCUAACGAGGAACGAUCGGAGGGCAAGUCUGGUGCCAGCAGCCGCGGUAAUUCCAGCUCCAAUAGCGUACGUUAAAGUUGCUGCAGUUAAAAAGCUCGUAGUUGAACGUUCGGGUUCCGCGGGACGGGGCCGCCCCGCGAGGGACGGCGCCGCCCCGGGGCUCGUGAUAUCUUAUCUCGCCGCCCGUCGCGAGGCGGACGGAGGGAUGGAUGAGGUUACCUGGAAAAAAUCGGGGCGAUCUAGGCGGGCGAACCUCGCCAACGAACGAUCGGACAUGGGAUAACGGAAGAGGGCGUCGGCUCGACUUCGUCGGUUCCUCGGGGCCGAGGCACGUACGGUGAAUAGGGACGGUCGGGGCCGCCCGUACCGGGUCGUGAGAGGUGAAAUUCUAGGAUCGACCCGAGACGAACUGCCGCGAAAGCAUUCGGCAAGGACGCUUUCAUUAAUCAAGAACGAAAGUCGGGGGAUCGAAGACGAUCAGAUACCGUCGUAGUCCCGACCGUAAACGAUGCCGACCGAGGGCCC